rnacentral:rRNA from 1 species
GAUGAACGCUAGCGGCAGGCUUAACACAUGCAAGUCGAGGGGCAGCACGUCUUCGGAUGGUGGCGAACGGCGCACGGGUGCGUAACGCGUAUACAACCUACCUUAUAGAGGGGAAUAGCCCAGAGAAAUUUGGAUUAAUGCCCCAUAGUAUUAUUGAAUAGCAUUAUUUAAUGAUAAAACAUUUAUGGCUAUAAGAUGGGUAUGCGUUCUAUUAGCUAGAUGGUAAGGUAACGGCUUACCAUGGCGACGAUAGAUAGGGGUCCUGAGAGGGAGAUCCCCCACACUGGUACUGAGACACGGACCAGACUCCUACGGGAGGCAGCAGUGAGGAAUAUUGGACAAUGGGCGAGAGCCUGAUCCAGCCAUGCCGCGUGCAGGAAGACGGCCCUAUGGGUUGUAAACUGCUUUUAAUACGGGAAGAAACACUCCUUCGUGAAGGAGCUUGACGGUACCGUAAGAAUAAGGAUCGGCUAACUCCGUGCCAGCAGCCGCGGUAA